AAUGGCUAACAAGCUGAUCAGCGAGAUAGGUCUGCCCAAAUCAAUCGCAAAUAUAUUUGCAGCUCGUAAUAUCAAUACUGCCAAGGAGGCUUUAUCUUUGACCGAAUUCGAGUUGAUGGAGCUGUUAGAUGUUGGAAUGGCGGAUGUAACAUCUGCAGUGGCCCACAUUAGUGCUGUUGUGUCCCCUCCAUAUCAAACUGCCCUUUUUUUGAUGGAGCAACGGCUACAAAAUGAACAAUUUGCAGGGCAUCUCCCCACCCGUCUCAAGGGAUUAGAUGAUGUCUUGUUUGGUGGAAUACCUUUCGGUGUUUUGACAGAGUUAGUUGGUCCAGCUGGAAUUGGUAAAACACAAUUUUGCUUGAAGAUAUCGUUGUUGGCUUCACUGCCAGCAAGUUAUGGAGGUUUAGAUGGCCAUGUUAUAUAUAUUGAUGUAGAAUCCAAAUUCAGUUCAAGAAGGAUAAUAGAAAUUGGAGCAACAAGUUUUCCAGAGAUAUUUCAUAAGAAAGGAAUGGCACAGGAGAUGGCUGGUAGGAUCCUUGUUUUGCGGCCAACAUCACUUUCUGAAUUUACUGAAAGGUGUGAAUCGAAGAAUGGUUUACUUCACAAUUUAAAUGAAAGAUUAACACUGCUUACUAGAUAUGAGUUCAAUGUGGCACUGUGGGCAACAAGAUGAAAAAUCCAGUUGAAUAUUUGGUCAUGCACAAUGAAUACCAGUAGUUCAGCAAGUUUACGCAAAACUCAAUGGGUUUGAAGUUAUUUUGCUAUCAUCAUCAUUUUGCAACAAAUCAAGGUUUUGCUCCUCCAACAAGAGGUGAAGUUGUUAGUUAUUGAUAGCAUGGCUGCUCUAAUUUCAGGGGAAUAUGAUCAAGGAGCUCCUAGACAACAUUCAUUGGGCUGGCAUAUUUCUUUUGUUAAGUCACUCGCUGAAUUUUCACGAAUUCCUGUUGUGGUGACAAAUCAAGUGAGAUCUCAAAGUCGUGAUGAAAUCUGCCAGCAUCCUUUUCAAGCACACAAAAAUGUCGAGACUCAAGAGGGAACUGAAAAAUAUGAUUCUCAUGUUGUUGCUGCUUUGGGAAUUCAUUGGGCUCAUUCUGUCACCAUUCGUCUUGUGCUUGAAGCUAAAUCAGGUCACAGGUACAUUAAGGUGGCAAAAUCUCCAAUAUCGCCGCCCAUGGCUUUCCCUUUUAUCA
rnacentral:misc_RNA from 1 species